rnacentral:rRNA from 1 species
GCACAUGCUGUGAGCUCGAUGAGUAGGGCGGGACACGUGGUAUCCUGUCUGAAUAUGGGGGGACCAUCCUCCAAGGCUAAAUACUCCUGACUGACCGAUAGUGAACCAGUACCGUGAGGGAAAGGCGAAAAGAACCCCGGCGAGGGGAGUGAAAAAGAACCUGAAACCGUGUACGUACAAGCAGUGGGAGCACGCUUAGGCGUGUGACUGCGUACCUUUUGUAUAAUGGGUCAGCGACUUAUAUUCUGUAGCAAGGUUAACCGAAUAGGGGAGCCGAAGGGAAACCGAGUCUUAACUGGGCGUUAAGUUGCAGGGUAUAGACCCGAAACCCGGUGAUCUAGCCAUGGGCAGGUUGAAGGUUGGGUAACACUAACUGGAGGACCGAACCGACUAAUGUUGAAAAAUUAGCGGAUGACUUGUGGCUGGGGGUGAAAGGCCAAUCAAACCGGGAGAUAGCUGGUUCUCCCCGAAAGCUAUUUAGGUAGCGCCUCGUGAAUUCAUCUCCGGGGGUAGAGCACUGUUUCGGCAAGGGGGUCAUCCCGACUUACCAACCCGAUGCAAACUGCGAAUACCGGAGAAUGUUAUCACGGGAGACACACGGCGGGUGCUAACGUCCGUCGUGAAGAGGGAAACAACCCAGACCGCCAGCUAAGGUCCCAAAGUCAUGGUUAAGUGGGAAACGAUGUGGGAAGGCCCAGACAGCCAGGAUGUUGGCUUAGAAGCAGCCAUCAUUUAAAGAAAGCGUAAUAGCUCACUGGUCGAGUCGGCCUGCGCGGAAGAUGUAACGGGGCUAAACCAUGCACCGAAGCUGCGGCAGCGACGCUUAUGCGUUGUUGGGUAGGGGAGCGUUCUGUAAGCCUGCGAAGGUGUGCUGUGAGGCAUGCUGGAGGUAUCAGAAGUGCGAAUGCUGACAUAAGUAACGAUAAAGCGGGUGAAAAGCCCGCUCGCCGGAAGACCAAGGGUUCCUGUCCAACGUUAAUCGGGGCAGGGUGAGUCGACCCCUAAGGCGAGGCCGAAAGGCGUAGUCGAUGGGAAACAGGUUAAUAUUCCUGUACUUGGUGUUACUGCGAAGGGGGGACGGAGAAGGCUAUGUUGGCCGGGCGACGGUUGUCCCGGUUUAAGCGUGUAGGCUGGUUUUCCAGGCAAAUCCGGAAAAUCAAGGCUGAGGCGUGAUGACGAGGCACUACGGUGCUGAAGCAACAAAUGCCCUGCUUCCAGGAAAAGCCUCUAAGCAUCAGGUAACAUCAAAUCGUACCCCAAACCGACACAGGUGGUCAGGUAGAGAAUACCAAGGCGCUUGAGAGAACUCGGGUGAAGGAACUAGGCAAAAUGGUGCCGUAACUUCGGGAGAAGGCACGCUGAUAUGUAGGUGAAGUCCCUCGCGGAUGGAGCUGAAAUCAGUCGAAGAUACCAGCUGGCUGCAACUGUUUAUUAAAAACACAGCACUGUGCAAACACGAAAGUGGACGUAUACGGUGUGACGCCUGCCCGGUGCCGGAAGGUUAAUUGAUGGGGUCAGCGCAAGCGAAGCUCUUGAUCGAAGCCCCGGUAAACGGCGGCCGUAACUAUAACGGUCCUAAGGUAGCGAAAUUCCUUGUCGGGUAAGUUCCGACCUGCACGAAUGGCGUAAUGAUGGCCAGGCUGUCUCCACCCGAGACUCAGUGAAAUUGAACUCGCUGUGAAGAUGCAGUGUACCCGCGGCAAGACGGAAAGACCCCGUGAACCUUUACUAUAGCUUGACACUGAACAUUGAGCCUUGAUGUGUAGGAUAGGUGGGAGGCUUUGAAGUGUGGACGCCAGUCUGCAUGGAGCCGGCCUUGAAAUACCACCCUUUAAUGUUUGAUGUUCUAACGUUGACCCGU